CAGUAGCCGCGGUAAUACGAAGGGUGCAAGCGUUAAUCGGAAUUACUGGGCGUAAAGCGUGCGUAGGCGGUGAGUUAAGUCUGCUGUGAAAUCCCCGGGCUCAACUUGGGACCUGCAUUUGUGACUGUAUAGCUAGAGUACGGUAGAGGGGGAUGGAAUUCCGCGUGUAGCAGUGAAAUGCGUAGAUAUGCGGAGGAACACCGAUGGCGAAGGCAAUCCCCUGGACCUGUACUGACGCUCAUGCACGAAAGCGUGGGGAGCAAACAGGAUUAGAUACCCCUGUAGUCCCUGUCUCUUAUAU
rnacentral:rRNA from 1 species